rnacentral:rRNA from 1 species
GCAUAAACCCCCAAAAAAAAAAAAAAAAAUUUUAUAGAGGGUUUAUCCACUUGUCAGAUUGAACGCUGGCGGCAGGCCUAACACAUGCAAGUCGAGCGGCAGCACGGGUACUUGUACCUGGUGGCGAGCGGCGGACGGGUGAGUAAUGCCUAGGAAUCUGCCUGGUAGUGGGGGAUAACGCUCGGAAACGGACGCUAAUACCGCAUACGUCCUACGGGAGAAAGCAGGGGACCUUCGGGCCUUGCGCUAUCAGAUGAGCCUAGGUCGGAUUAGCUAGUUGGUGAGGUAAUGGCUCACCAAGGCGACGAUCCGUAACUGGUCUGAGAGGAUGAUCAGUCACACUGGAACUGAGACACGGUCCAGACUCCUACGGGAGGCAGCAGUGGGGAAUAUUGGACAAUGGGCGAAAGCCUGAUCCAGCCAUGCCGCGUGUGUGAAGAAGGUCUUCGGAUUGUAAAGCACUUUAAGUUGGGAGGAAGGGCAUUUACCUAAUACGUAAGUGUUUUGACGUUACCGACAGAAUAAGCACCGGCUAACUCUGUGCCAGCAGCCGCGGUAAUACAGAGGGUGCAAGCGUUAAUCGGAAUUACUGGGCGUAAAGCGCGCGUAGGUGGUUCGUUAAGUUGGAUGUGAAAUCCCCGGGCUCAACCUGGGAACUGCAUUCAAAACUGUCGAGCUAGAGUAUGGUAGAGGGUGGUGGAAUUUCCUGUGUAGCGGUGAAAUGCGUAGAUAUAGGAAGGAACACCAGUGGCGAAGGCGACCACCUGGACUGAUACUGACACUGAGGUGCGAAAGCGUGGGGAGCAAACAGGAUUAGAUACCCUGGUAGUCCACGCCGUAAACGAUGUCAACUAGCCGUUGGGAGCCUUGAGCUCUUAGUGGCGCAGCUAACGCAUUAAGUGACCGCCUGGAGACGCCGACCUGG